rnacentral:rRNA from 1 species
GACGAACGCUGGCGGCGUGCUUAACACAUGCAAGUCGAACGGAAAGGCCCUGCUUUUGUGGGGUGCUCGAGUGGCGAACGGGUGAGUAACACGUGAGUAACCUGCCCUUGACUUUGGGAUAACUUCAGGAAACUGGGGCUAAUACCGGAUAGGAGCUCCUGCUGCAUGGUGGGGGUUGGAAAGUUUCGGCGGUUGGGGAUGGACUCGCGGCUUAUCAGCUUGUUGGUGGGGUAGUGGCUUACCAAGGCUUUGACGGGUAGCCGGCCUGAGAGGGUGACCGGCCAAAUUGGGAAUGAGGUACGGGCCAGACUCCUAAGGGGGGGAGGAGUGGGGAAUAAUGGAACAUGGGGGGAAGCCUGAAGGAGCAACGGCGGGGGCGGGAUGAAGGCCUUCGGGUUGUAAACCGCUUUCGCCUGUGACGAAGCGUGAGUGACGGUAAAGGGUAAAGAAGGAACGGCUAACUAAGUG